AGGACCCCUGAAAGACAAAGUCAGGAAUGGAUUCCUGGAACCAAGAAUGUCCACAGGGCUCUUGAUGCUGCUUCCUCUACCCCUACAUUUUAUAUAGUUCUGUAAGUACUCACUGCAGAGACAAAUGGAAACGAGUCCACUCUAGGAAGAAGAAUAACUGGAAGCUUGAAAGUUUUUCUGAAUGAGCUGUGUAAACGCGACUUGGAAAUGUGACUUCAGGAGAAAGACCCAGGUAGAAAACCCUGAUGGCGAAAGCAAGUUUUAACUGAAUUGAGAAGAACCUGAAAGUUAUGUAACCAUGGCUUUUAUGAAUCAAAGAAGAGACAUUAUGGGUAUGUGAACUACAAUAAUGACAUUUGGCAUGGGGAAAAUGAUAGAUACGGUAAUUUCAAUUUUCUGCAAGAUAGAGAACACACAGAGAAGUAGUGAUUGAUAUACAGUAUAAGAAUCCAUCCCCUACAAUGUGUGCAAAGGAAAUUAAUGACUGGCUAGACCCUGAAAAACUUUAAUACUUUACAUCACUGGUGUGAAAAAAAAGGUGGGUAUGAAAAAUUGGAAUACUUGGAUAAUAAAUACUAAACAAU